GAACGGACUAGGUCGGGCGGUUAGGCCCCGCUUGUGACCCACGUGUGGCCUCAAAGUGGGGACCGAACGCCGGAUGCGUCCGGUCAGACGGGCGCGGACCCCGUGAGCCAACGGCGAAGCCUCGUCCUGCGGGGACGGAGGUCCAGACGGGCGCGCCUGCAGGGGCGUGGCGGUCUGGUUAGCUGGAGCCACUCCGCCAGGCGCGGAAGCGAGCAGCGGAGCUCCGGACAUCUGUCGCUCGAAGGGCCGCGGGGUGGAGGAGGCAAGCGGGACUACCCGCGUUCGAACGCCGGGCAAUUUCGGUCUGUCCGUUU
rfam:halophilic archaeon J07HX5 genomic scaffold scf7180000022092, whole genome shotgun sequence.